AUUGAACGCUGGCGGCAGGCUUAACACAUGCAAGUCGAGCGGGGAAAAGUAGCUUGCUACUUAACUUAGCGGCGGACGGGUGAGUAAUACUUAGGAAUCUGCCUAUUAGUGGGGGACAACAUUUCGAAAGGAAUGCUAAUACCGCAUACGUCCUACGGGAGAAAGCAGGGGAUCACUUGUGACCUUGCGCUAAUAGAUGAGCCUAAGUCGGAUUAGCUAGUUGGUGGGGUAAAGGCCUACCAAGGCGACGAUCUGUAGCGGGUCUGAGAGGAUGAUCCGCCACACUGGGACUGAGACACGGCCCAGACUCCUACGGGAGGCAGCAGUGGGGAAUAUUGGACAAUGGGGGGAACCCUGAUCCAGCCAUGCCGCGUGUGUGAAGAAGGCCUUUUGGUUGUAAAGCACUUUAAGCGAGGAGGAGGCUACUCUAGUUAAUACCUAGGGAUAGUGGACGUUACUCGCAGAAUAAGCACCGGCUAACUCUGUGCCAGCAGCCGCGGUAAUACAGAGGGUGCGAGCGUUAAUCGGAUUUACUGGGCGUAAAGCGUGCGUAGGUGGCCAAUUAAGUCAAAUGUGAAAUCCCCGAGCUUAACUUGGGAAUUGCAUUCGAUACUGGUUGGCUAGAG
rnacentral:rRNA from 1 species